rnacentral:misc_RNA from 4 species
AACGCACAUUGCGCCCCUUGGUAUUCCGAGGGGCAUGCCUGUUCGAGCGUCAUUAUAACCCUCAAGCCUAGCUUGGUGUUGGGGCUUGCUGUUACCGGCAGCCCUUAAAACUAGUGGCGGUGCCACCUGGCUCUAAGCGUAGUAAUACUUCUCGCUAUAGAGUCCCGGUGGAUGCUUGCCAUCAACCCCUAAUUUUCUAUGGUUGACCUCGGAUCAGGUAGGGAUACCCGCUGAACUUAA